CGAAGGGUGCAAGCGUUGUUCGGAAUUACUGGGCGUAAAGCGCGCGUAGGCGUUUGAUAAGUUGGAGUGAAAUCCCGGGGCUUAACCUCGGAAUUGCUUUCAAAACUGUCAAGCUGGAGUAUGGUAGGGGACAGUGGAAUUCCUAGUGUAGAGGUGAAAUUCGUAGAUAUUAGGAGGAACACCAGUGGCGAAAGCGACUGUCUGGACCAUUACUGACGCUGAGGCGCGAAAGCGUGGGGAGCAAACAGGAUUAGAUACCCUGGUAGUCCACGCUGUAAACGAUGGGUACUAGAUAUCGGGACUUUAUGUUUCGGUGUCGUAGCAAACGCGUUAAGUACCCCGCCUGGGGAGUACGGUCGCAAGAUUA
rnacentral:rRNA from 1 species